rnacentral:rRNA from 1 species
UGAGGAACAUGACCUUCGGCGGGGGAUAGCCGGCCCAACGGCCGGGUAAUACCGCGUACGACCACAUGGGGACAUCCCUGAGUGGUGAAAGCAGCAAUGCGCCGAUGGAGUGCCUCGCGGCCUAUCAGCUAGUUGGUGAGGUAACGCUCACCAAGGCGACGACGGGUAGCUGGU